GAUGAACGCUGGCGGCGUGCUUAACACAUGCAAGUCGAACGAACGACUUAUUAACAGAACCUUUCGGGGCGAAGAAUAUAGAAGUUAGUGCGGACGGGUGCGUAACGCGUGGGUAAUCUGCCUUUGUCAAAGGAAUAACUAUUCGAAAGAAUAGCUAAAACCGUAUAACAUAUUAAUAGGGCAUCCUAAUAAUAUCAAAACGAUAGUGGACAAAGAUGAGCCCGCGUCUGAUUAGCUAGUUGGUGAGAUAAAAGCCCACCAAGGCAACGAUCAGUAGCCGACCUGAGAGGGUGAACGGCCACAUUGGAACUGAGACACGGUCCAAACUCCUACGGGAGGCAGCAGUGGGGAAUAUUGCACAAUGGGGGGAACCCUGAUGCAGCAACGCCGCGUGAGUGAAGAAGGCAUUCGUGUCGUAAAACUCUGUAGUAGGGGAAGAAAGAAAUGACAGUACCCUAAAAGAAAGCCGGCUACUAAAA
rnacentral:rRNA from 1 species